CAGAAAAAUUGAGCUGCCAGUUUGAGUACUGAACUGCUCGAGGCAAUUUUCACGCCAGCUUCGUAGUCUUUGCAAUGACCUUGAGAGUGCUGAUCGGUGAAAACAGAGGGUGAUGAUUCAGUGUUCUUGAUAAAGACGAAGGCGUCAUGAGUUCUAAUCUCUCUGAAUUUCCUGGUAGUGGUUCCGGGGUGUCAGCUAUGGAUGGAAGGCUGGCAGGCUUGGUUUCCAGGCUCUGAGGCCGCCUCCUUUCUGCAGGUGACACAGGUGGCACCACCCCCGUGUCCCCUUCUGCCAGGUCUCUCAGGAGGCUGCAGUCUGGACUCUGAGGCUUGAAUCCGUGGAGCCUCUUAUGAGCUCUGAUUCCAGCUGGGCUCCAGUUCCGGCUGCAAGGUCUUUGCCUCAUCCCUUGGGACUUCUCUCUCCCUCAUGAAGCUUGUUCAUCCCCCAGUCUCAGUGUGAAUGGGCCCUGCCUUUCACCCAACACCCUUUCCCAUGUCUUUGGGGGUUGGAUGCCUGUCCCAGCCUCCAGCCCAGCUGGGACCCUGAGACUUGAUGGAUGCCAGAUAUUUCUGAUGAAAACUGAAGGGCCCCUGAGCUCGCAAGGGCACCUCCCACCUCCCGUUUUUUUGUUGUUUAUUUUAUUUUUUUUGAAAGAGAGAGAGACAGAGACAGAGACAGAGAGAGGGAGGGAGGAGAUCCCAAGCAGGCUCCCCGCUGUCGUGGGGCAUGGAGCCCCACGCAGGGCUCAAACUCACGAACCGUGAGAUCAUGACCUGAGCCAAAAUCAAGAGCCGGACCUUAAGCCAACUGAACCACCCAGGUGCACCCCCGCCUCCCAGUUUGGUCACGUACAACCACGGCGUUCCUUUGGUUAAUAUGAGCAGCUGCCAUUCGUCACAAGAGUAACUCCCGUUCUCGCCCAGCUACAUGUUGGGUGACUCCCGCUACAUGUCUCUGACCGAGUUCCUCCCCCAUACACUGCCUAUCGAGUGGGCACCCAUCAGUCCCACUGUCUCCUGCGGGCUUGAUGACGUCUAAACUCUCCGUUCCUCAGGGCGCUCCACCAACAUGGCGCACCCUAGAAGGUCUCACCUGAAGCCAAUGUGACAGUACUCUCGCAGCGGGAUUGGAGACCCAGCUGGUGAGACUCGGGUUGGCCCCCAUCCUCCGGAAUCAGCAGCUGGACACGCAGGCGGUGGGUGGUCAACACUCCUAAGUGGGAGGGAGGAAAGACUCAGUAGAUUCUAACACCCCGCCCACGUGUCCGUGGGGUUUCUCGGUGCUUCACCAACGAGGACCCAUCCCUCCAUUCAUGACGCCAGCUAACACCACCUCUGGUAUCCAUCAGAGAGACAGCGGAAGCACUGUGGGAGCCCCUCUGGACUAUGGCCUUCUGAUUAAACUCUAAUUACCACCCCCUGGAGUUACCCUCCUGGGGGCACCUGGCCUCCCUGAGAGUGUAGAUGAAGCGCUACAGACUCACAUUCAGAUCGCUCUUUUGGCGCUGAAGCAUUUUAAAGUAAAUUGCAGCGAAACCACAGCACCGGGGCAUCCCGCCUCUGUCCUAAUAGUAACAAACAGCGUUUCCGGUUUACAAAAUGCCAUCGCACAGCUUUCAACCCCUUGCAAAGUAAGUGCCCUGAAUUAUCUCCAGCCCCGCCACCAAGGAGUCUCCUGCCAGCGAGGGCCCCGCACAGCCCCACGGCAUCCGCUUCCGCUUCCGGGUCGCUUUGCAACAGGCAUGCGUCGCGCGAGGUGCCUACAUACGACGGCGCUCUGGAGGCUUCCUCCCCACGCCAGCUUUCCUGGCGGCCAUGUGACCGCCUGAGCAUGUGAUCUGCCCAGGCCAAUCAUAGUGGCCUCGUCCUUUGGGCCAAAGCGGCUGGCCAGGAAAGUGCACGUGGCCUGGCAAAGCCAAGCAGGAGGCCUCCUGGUUCUCUCAGCCCAGAGCUGGGAGGGGACGCUGGGAUUCUGGCGCACUUCUCCUUGCUCCGGUGACCUUGGCCUUGCGGGGACAGCUCCAUCGCGAGCAUGAAUCCAACGGUCGGGGCGAAUCAGAGGCCUGGGUCACGACAGCCUGAACGUGUCCUCCCCACCAAAUUCACAUGUUGAAGUCCUGAUCCCCAAGGGGACGGUAUUAGGAGAGUUUGCAAAUGGAAGGAUUUAAACCCCAACGCUGGAUCCUGGUUCUCCAAAUGAACCGGCUGAUAGCGCAAGAGACGUGACAGGUCCUCUUUGGCGCCCCCUGUGUCCUGCAUCUCUGUUUGCUGUCCCUUUCUGCUCCCGGUCUCCACCCCUGCAGACCCCACUGAACAGUUUCAUCUCAAGGAACCUCCAGCCCGAAGUGCAAACCCUGGAACGGAACGCAGAUGCAAGUAGUGUAUUUGCAGCGGAUCCCAGGAGACACUGCAGGGGAGGGGAAAGGGGGCCAGGAAAGGGAGCAUUAUAGAGACUCUCCUGCAGAAGGUAAGUGGCACCCAGGCCCCCUGGGGGACCCAGGGAGCCCCUCAGAGUCACCCGAACUGUGGGGCCAGAGGGUUGAGGAAACCGGGCACGUAUCCAUCACAUCUCUGCCUGCCCGCCACUGGCUGAGGGCCACUCCUCUCUGGCUUUUGUCGCUGGAUAUCAUCCCCAGGAGAUUCUUCUCCACCAGCGCACAGGGCUGGGCAUUUAGGCAGUGGCUGUGGCCCUAGAUGUAGUGGGAACAGACAGGAGUGUCAGGAAGGUGCACACCACGGUCUUUUAACCUUGACUUUGCCUCCGCCUCUUGUUUCCUUAAUGGGGCGCCCCCUGCAGCAUCAACCCCCGAUCUGGCCUGCUGACCCUCCUCCUUCAUGUCCCAUGCUGCCUUUCUGGGUCUCAUCCACGACAUCUGAUGCUGACGCAGCCGUUCCCACUUCUCCUUUCCUCAACAUCCCAAAAUCUUAUGUUCUGUUUGACCGGGACGCGGUAAGGCCAGGCUCCUUGCCUUCGUGGAGCCUGCGCGUCAUUGAGGGGUGGGGCUCGGGCGUGAGCAAAAGCUGCCGAGCGUCUUAAGGCCUGGCCUCAGAAGUCACCUCGUGUCACCUCUGCUGCGUUGUGAGGGUCGAAGCACGUCACUGAGCCCAGCCACAGCCAAGGAGUCGGGAGAUAGGACACGUUGGUUUAGUUGUAGUGGUGCAGUCACGCUGUGGAAGGCCGUGUGCCCCAGGAUGGGGGGGGGGGGGCCUUGAAACUGUAUUUUACCCUCCACCGAAGUACAGGUCUCCUCCAGUCUCUGGCCAAGGGCUUCCUUGAACCCUCUUCCCCAUGGCCAUGUCUUCCGUGCUCCUUGGCCACUCGCGCCCAUGACCCUAACUCCCGGAUCUCGCCGUCAGGGCAUCCGUGGCCCCUCUUACCUUGGCUCCCGCACCCCAGCCUCUGACCCCACUCCCACCUCUCCUCCCUCCUGUCAUUCGGCACCAACAGGUCCUUGACCCCAGUGGGGCUGUGGGUAUGUCAAUUUUCUACGGACCGUCAGCCUCUUUAUACUGCCCACCAGCCUGACCCCACGGGCCAUUGCUCCGGUCUCCGUCCCCCACCCCCUUACCUCCACCCUCAGCUCUCAGGCUCUUUUCUGACCUCGUGGUGUCCACCCAGCAAAAGCCGGCCUCGGGCACAGCCAGCCCCACGCCCGCACCCACGAAGUUGAAUGCGGCUGGAGGGAACCCCGCAGGCGUCCUGCGAGAACUGAGUUGUAACCCACCGUCGGAAGGCGGGGAGGAAUGAAGAGGCGAUAACAACCCUUCAGACCUCAGAUCUGAGCCGUGGACGGAUCUUAGGCGUGCGGACCUCUCCCCUCCUCCUUCUAGUCCGAGAGCCGAAUCCGGGCACUGGCUCGCGCUGGCUCUUCCCUCCCACCGCAUUCACCACACGUCCACGAAGUGCCCCCGAUCUCGGUCGCGCACCGGGCAGUUACGGGCUCAGAGGAGCUAGGCAGGGCCCGGAACCAGCGCGAACUCCAGGGGUGGUCUGGGGGCUGGCCGCACCCGCAUCACGUGGGAGCUUGCUGAGAAGAAAGGUUCUCAGGGCCUCACCCCGGACCUGCAGAAUCAGAAUCCCCGGGGGCGGGUGUCGGACCCAGAAGCUGUGUUUGGGGCAAGCCCUCUGGUGCCUCUUAUUUAUGCUGGAGUUUGAGGAUCCUGUCUAGACACUUGCCGAUUAGUGUGUGACACCAAGACCUGGGCGCUCGUCCAAAACGGCAGGCCCUGGGUCCUCACCGCGGGCCCCCUGAAAGAGAAACUGCAUUUUCACCAGGCCCCCCAGGGAUCUGUCACGGCCCAGGGGCUGGAGGUGGCCGAAGGACGCGUCCCAGGGCGUAGACGCUCAGGAAGCCUUGGGUGCCUGGUUGUCGCACAGAAGGAGCACCCUCGCCGGGCUGCCCAGAUAGGUUCCACUUCCCGGGCCCACGCUGAGGCUCAGCGGGGACGCCCUGGGGCCUGACCUCGCAUCUGGUCCCUACGCUGUAUUAGCGAGCCUGAGGGAGAGUCGCGCCUACCCGCUGCCGGUGGGGGUAGAAAUCCGGUCCCCCUCCCCGGAGGGCUCUUUGGCCAUGUCUGCCGCGCCCCAGGCUGGACGGACGGAGCAAAGGCCGUGUGCCCUGGAUGCCUCCAGCAGGAAGGCCCUGGUGGGGAAGGUACAAUGUCUCUGGAAGGAAGCAGGAUGAACGGCUAAUAUUCCUGGUCCCUGGGGAGGGAAGCAGGUGCGCCUGGGGGAGACACCAAGCCCGAGUUUUCACUGUCUGUUACUUUGUACCACUUGGCUUUUGUACCAAGUACAACUGUCAUCCGCC